GAGUUUGAUCCUGGCUCAGGACGAGCGCUGGCGGUAUGCUUAACACAUGCGAGUCGAACGGUAACAGGGCCUUCGGGCGCUGACGAGUGGCGGACGGGUGAGUAACGCGUAGGAAUCUGCCUCAUAGUGGGGGACAACGUGGGGAAACUCACGCUAAUACCGCAUACGCCCUACGGGGGAAAGCGGGGGAUCUUCGGACCUCGCGCUAUGAGAUGAGCCUGCGUUAGAUUAGCUAGUUGGUAGGGUAAAGGCCUACCAAGGCGACGAUCUAUAGCUGGUCUGAGAGGACGAUCAGCCACACUGGGACUGAGACACGGCCCAGACUCCUACGGGAGGCAGCAGUGGGGAAUAUUGGACAAUGGGCGCAAGCCUGAUCCAGCAAUACCGCGUGUGUGAAGAAGGCCUAGGGUUGUAAAGCACUUUCAAUUGGGAGGAAAACCUGCCGGUCAAUACCCGGCAGCUUGACAUUACCUUUAGAAGAAGCACCGGCUAACUCCGUG
rnacentral:rRNA from 1 species